AGUCGUAACAAGGUUUCCGUAGGUGAACCUGCGGAAGGAUCAUUAACGCGCAGGCCGGAGGCUGGCCCCCCACGAUAGGGCCAAACGUCCGUCAGGGGUGAGCAGAUGUGCGCCGGCCGUACCGCCCCAUUCUUGUCUACCUUACUCGGUUGCCUCGGCGGGCCGCGCUCUCCCAGGAGAGCCGUUCGGCGAGCCUCUCUUUAGUGGCUAAACGCUGGACCGCGCCCGCCGGAGGACAGACGCAAAAAAAUUCUUUCAGAAGAGCUGUCAGUCUGAGCGUUAGCAAGCAAAAAUCAGUUAAAACUUUCAACAACGGAUCUCUUGGUUCCGGCAUCGAUGAAGAACGCAGCGAAAUGCGAUAAGUAAUGUGAAUUGCAGAAUUCCGUGAAUCAUCGAAUCUUUGAACGCACAUUGCGCCCCCUGGCAUUCCGGGGGGCAUGCCUGUUCGAGCGUCAUUUCAGCCCCUCAAGCCCGGCUUGUGUGAUGGACGACCGUCCGGCGCCCCCGUCUUUGGGGGUGCGGGACGCGCCCGAAAAGCAGUGGCCAGGCCGCGAUUCCGGCUUCCUAGGCGAAUGGGCAACAAACCAGCGCCUCCAGGACCGGCCGCCCUGGCCUCAAAAUCUGUUUUAUACUUAUCAGGUUGACCUCGGAUCAGGUAGGGAUACCCGCUGAACUUAAGCAUAUCAAUAAGCGGAGGA
rnacentral:misc_RNA from 1 species